UGUGGGAGCUGGCUUGCCUGCGAUAGCGGUGUGUCAGGUAGCAAAUGAGUUGCCGACCCACCGCCAUCGCAGGCAAGCCAGCUCCCACA
rnacentral:misc_RNA from 1 species